rnacentral:rRNA from 1 species
AGUGAACGCUGGCGGCGUGCCUAAUACAUGCAAGUCGAACGGAGUGGCGCACGGGUGAGUAAUGUAUAGCUAAUCUGCCCUACACUAGAGGACAACAGUUGGAAACGGCUGCUAAUACUCUAUAGUGUAGGAUGAGGCUAUAUUGUAUCAGCUAGUUGGUGAGUUAAGGGCUCACCAAGGCUAUGACGCAUAACUGGUCUGAGAGGAUGAUCAGUCAACCUGGAACUGAGACACGGGCCAGACUCGUACGGGAGGCAGCAGUAGGGAAUAACGCUCACUGGGGGAAACCCGGAAGCAGCAACGCCGCGUGGAGGAUGACACUUGUCGGAGCAUAUACUCCUUUUGUGAGGGAAGCGGUACCUAACGAAUAAGCACCGGCUAACUCCGUGCCAGCAGCCGCGGUAAUUC